AUUGAACGCUGGCGGCAUGCUUUACACAUGCAAGUCGAACGGCAGCGCGGGCUUCGGCCUGGCGGCGAGUGGCGAACGGGUGAGUAAUACAUCGGAACGUGCCCAGUAGUGGGGGAUAGCUCGGCGAAAGCCGGAUUAAUACCGCAUACGACCUGAGGGUGAAAGCGGGGGAUCUUCGGAACUCGCGCUAUUGGAGCGGCCGAUGGCAGAUUAGCUAGUUGGUGGGGUAAAGGCCUACCAAGGCGGCGAUCUGUAGCUGGUCUGAGAGGACGACCAGCCACACUGGGACUGAGACACGGCCCAGACUCCUACGGGAGGCAGCAGUGGGGAAUUUUGGACAAUGGGCGAAAGCCUGAUCCAGCAAUGCCGCGUGUGUGAUGAAGGCCUUCGGGUUGUAAAGCACUUUUGGCGGGAACGAAAAGGACUGUGCCAAUACCACGGUUCGAUGACGGUACCCGCAGAAUAAGCACCGGCUAACUACGUG
rnacentral:rRNA from 1 species